AGCAGCCGCGGUAAUUCCAGCUCCAAUAGCGUAUAUUAAAGUUGUUGCCGUUAAAAAGCUCGUAGUCGAACUUCGGCCUCUGCCGCCCGGUCCGCCUAAUUGGGUGUGUACUGGAGCGGUGGAGGCUUACCUCGUGGUGAACGGCCAUGUCCUUUACUGGGUGUGGUCGGGAACCAUGACUUUUACUGUGAAAAAAUUAGAGUGUUCAAAGCAGGCUUACGCCCGAAUACAUUAGCAUGGAAUAAUAAAAUAGGACGUGCGGUCCUAUUUUGUUGGUUUCUAGGAUCGCCGUAAUGAUUAAUAGGGAUAGUUGGGGGCAUUCGUAUUCAAUUGUCAGAGGUGGAAUUCUUGGAUUUAUUGAAGACGAACUACUGCGAAAGCAUUUGCCAAGGAUGUUUUCAUUGAUCAAGAACGAAGGUUAGGGGAUCGAAAACGAUCAGAUACCGUUGUAGUCUUAACAGUAAACGAUGCCGA
rnacentral:rRNA from 1 species